rnacentral:tRNA from 1 species
GGAGAGAUGGCCGAGCGGCUGAAGGCGCUCCCCUGCUAAGGGAGUAUGGGUCACACCCAUCGUGGGUUCGAAUCCCACUCUCUCCG